rnacentral:lncRNA from 1 species
UAAAUCUUAGACUGAGGAAAUAAACAAUAACCAUCAUAGUCCCAUUAAAGGGAAAUUUACUACAAACUGGUAAUUUCCAAGUCAACUGAAAGCAAAAUAACAUAAUUCAAUUUAACUGAAAAUGUUCAAAAACAAAGAAAAUCUUUCCCCAUUCCAUUCCCGACUUCUUUUCGCUCUAUGAUCAACUGGAACAUCUGUAUCAACAUCUGCUCCCGUAUAACAACACGAGUUAUACGAUCAUCGCAUUCAUACACAAACAAUAAAGGUAAGCUACCAUAUUCAAAUACAACAACAACACAUCAAUUACUAAUAAACAAAGUGAUAUGGUUAACAUGACGUAUUCAAUUAAGUACACCAAAACCAAUAAAUACAGAAGAUACACACUGUCUCUUUGUACUCUCUCAUAUAAAACCUGUUCACCAAAACAGGACACCUGUUCACCAAAACAGGACACCUGUUCACCAAAACAGGAUAGUUCGAGUCAUCCUCCACCGCAGCUUCAGAUCUAUCUCCCCUGCUCCUCAAGACUUAUGAGUAAAAACUCCGCUACUUUCACAACGGGCACUAUACUCAGCUCGAUUGGAAAACCUACGGGCGAGACAUCCUACCCUUUCUACCCUCUCGAAAGAGGAAAGAGUGACACUCGAACCUUGCCUCUUCUACCGCCUCAUAUAGACGAAGAGACCUACCUUUCUACCCUCUCGGAAGAGGAAAGGUAUUACCUCAAUUUUUACACCAACAUAAUGAGAGUACAACUAUAUUAAAAGUACUACUAGUGUAUUAUCAUUAUCACACAUUCUUUAUCACCCUAACAUGCCUUUCUGUCAACCCAGAAUAUCCUAUCACAAGUAAAGUCAUAACAAAAAAAUAUCAAAACUAAUAAACAAUACUCGCAUCACUGCUGAACUAGAAACGAACCAGCGAAUUGAUACUCUGUAGAACUCAUACUCGUGCACCUACAUCUCCCGUAACCGUUUCUGAAUUAACAUAUUUUGUUCUCCCGUAUCAGUAUACAACCGUUACAAAAUUUACUAUACCUAAAUACACAUUGUCUCCAUUAUUGCUUUGACGUUACAAAAAGAAAGGACAAAAGGACCCCACAUAAUCGAUUUAAGAAUUCAAGAAAAUUUGCUAAAGGAAUAAACGGUGGAACUUAUUACAUUAACAUGUCUGCACUACAUAAUAAAAUAACAUUUAUAAAAUCACAAAACCUCUUUCAUAACUAAUAAAAUAUCAUUAGUAAAUAUAUCUAAUAUAAUGCGUUUGUAAACCUGCAUAAUAUCAUAUCAUUAACAAUAAAUAAGAAAAUAUCCUUCUUAAAAUUAUAAUAGAAUACGUAUAUAAACCUACCUAAUAUAAUAUCAUUUAUAGCAUACCUAAUAUAAUAUCAUUAUAAAUAAUAAAAUAUCAUAUCAAAGCUAACUCAUAAAUAAUUCUAAUACACCAUAACCUAUUAUAUGCAUUAGCUUCCAAAAUAUAGUCUCAUUAUAUGCUUUCAAAUCAUUAAUAUACCCUAUUCCAAAAUAGGAUAACUAUGGUGCUUAAAGAAAACUCCAAUAGAAUAAAUAAGCAAUAGCAAGAUCACGUUAAAUCCUCUUAAAAAAAUAAGCAACAGCAAGAUCACGUUAAAUCUAAAAGUAACUUUUUCUGCAGGAGUAUAUAACAUUCUUUAAAAAAAAACACUAACGUAGGAUAAAUUACGUAGAACAUACCAGACAAUGCAGAGAAGAUAUGUGUGCACUGGUAUAUAUAAAAACAAAACACAUGUAACAAUAUAAACUAGAAGAAAAGACUAAAUUUUCUUAGCAGAACUUUUCGUUCGACCCUCCAAACUAUCUUCCCAAUGGUUCUUCACUCUCAUGCAUCAAUACGAUAGUAUCACAACAAGCCUACUAUAGUAUGUUAAAACUAUUAGACAAAAGAAAUACUCUUAGCCCAAAACAAAUGCCCAACACUACUGAUUCAANAAUUUUAACCUACAUUAUCCAUCUUAGUACUAUUUCUUCAGAGUCUCUAAGCCAGGAGUCAUUGUCAUUUACUACCCCAGUCGCAGUUUGCUUCACUAUCCAACUAAAUAACACCAUACAAUGUAUAAGCAUAGAUUCCCACCACAACAGUAAACUCGAAUACUACUAGAUCAUGCGAAACCCUAAUCAUGGAGAGAUUAAAUUUGUGCACUUACUACNUAAUAUAUAUACAUACAUAUAUGGCACAGUGCAUCUUCAUCAAAUCUUAUCUAUAGAAACUGUAUCACCCAAUCUUACACUAGUGNUAUAUCAUAGGUUUAUAAAGUUAUAUAUCACAACAUUCAUCACAUAUGGACCAAGCAGCAAUGAGCAUUGAUACAGAGCAUGCAUAGACUACAACGGAAGGACAAGCACAAGAAAAACAACACAAAACCAUGGUUAGCUUCCCUUACCUUGAAUGAUCCUAGACUCAUUUCUUUACCCAAGGUUUCCAGCCAAAACUUUCACCUCCUUCCAACUCUCGUUCUUGCCUCAAUAACUUCAAACUACUCUUUGGAUUUUCCAGCCACUGUCUCACAAUGCCCUCUUUCUUUUCUCUCUGUUUUCCAAUUUAUAAACAGAAAAUAAUCCUCUCUCCUAAUCUCCCAUAACUCCACUAACUCUAACGUUGCACUCCUUUUGUUACCUUUCUUUUCGGCAAGAAUCACUAAAAAAAAACUAACUCUCCCAUCUUGUUUCACUCACAUGGUUACUAACCAUAAUUUUAAAUGAAUAAAAUGGCCCCACCAAUAAUUUUUCUUUGCACCACAUCUUAAUUC